GCUUCUUCAAUCAUUGACACCUGUGACGACAACGAUGUACACUAUUCAUGUUCAAGACUUUGGUAUAAAUAUAAUCGAAAAUUGUCAAUGCUAUCAUAUCUUUGGUGUUCCAUCGUUGAAGACACACAUCUGAAGAUCAAAUAUUACCAACCAUGCAAUCAACAGUGAUUGUCGCCCUUUGUCUGAUUGCCUUGACUACAUGUGAUGCCUUCAUGGGUUUCCCCAGUCCCAUGUUGCACCGCGGGAUUGGGCGUCGUGGCAUGGGUAGAUUACGCGGUGGCGGCGGUGGCUACGGCGGUUAUGACGGAUAUGACGGCUACGACAACGGAUACGGCCGAAUGGGAGGCCGAGGACGAUAUGGUGGCUAUGACAACGAUAAUUAUGGAGACUACGGCCGUGACUCCCCUGAUUUCGGCGACUAUGGACGAGGAAGACGAGGGGGUUAUUACUGAGCAGCGCUGAUGGCUCGGAAACUUUUUCCCCGGCUGUUUGUUGGACGUUUGCAGCUGACAUGCCACUAGAAGAUGCCAGCAUCCCUGAAAGGCAACCCUGUCCGCUGUCCCACAAGCAAUAACACAUCCACUUUACCUGGUCAUGUAUUGAUGACACAUCACAUAUUUUUUCCAUGUUUUUUUCUUUUAUUUCAUUUUUAAACAAUAAAACAGAAAAAACCUA